rnacentral:rRNA from 1 species
AAUCAACGCUGGCGGCGUGCCUCAGACAUGCAAGUCGAACGAUUAAAGCUCCCUUCGGGGAGUGCAUAGAGUGGCGCACGGGUGAGUAACACGUAAGUAAUCUACCUUCGAGUGGGGAAUAACAGUCGGAAACGACUGCUAAUACCGCAUAAUGCAGCGGCACCUAAUGGUGACAGUUGUUAAAGGAGUAAUUCGCUUGAAGAGGGGCUGGCGGCAGAUGAGUUAGUUGGUAAGGUAAUGGCUUACCAAGGCUACGAUCUGUAACCGGUCUAAGAGGACGGUAGGGCACACUGACACUGAACAACGGGUCAGACUCCUACGGGAGGCAGCAGUCGGGAAUUUUGGGCAAUGGGCGAAAGCCUGACCCAGCAACGCCGCGUGAAGGAUGAAGUAUUUCGGUAUGUAAACUUCGAAAGAAUGGGAAGAAUAAAUGACGGUACCAUUUAUAAGGACCGGCUAACUACGUGCCAGCCGCCGCCGUAAUAC